UUGUGGUAGGCUAACUUGUUC
rnacentral:siRNA from 1 species